rnacentral:rRNA from 1 species
GCGUUGUCCGGAUUUAUUGGGCGUAAAGAGCGUGUAGGCGGCUAGAUAGGUCCGUUGUGAAAACUCGAGGCUCAACCUCGAGACGUCGAUGGAAACCAUCUGGCUAGAGUCCGGAAGAGGAGAGUGGAAUUCCUGGUGUAGCGGUGAAAUGCGCAGAUAUCAGGAAGAACACCCGUGGCGAAGGCGGCUCUCUGGUACGUGACUGACGCUGAGACGCGAAAGCGUGGGGAGCGAACAGG